rnacentral:rRNA from 1 species
GUCAAGAAAAGUCUCUAUCGAGGUUAAAGGUACCCGUACCGCAAACCGACACAGGUGGGUGAGGAGAGUAGCCUAAGGCCAGCGAGAGAACGGUUGUUAAGGAACUCGGCAAAAGGACCCCGUAACUUAGGGAUAAGGGGUGCCACCAUCAGGUGGCCGCAGAGAAUAGGCCCAAGCGACUGUUUACCAAAAACAUAGGUUUCUGCUAAGUCG